GACGGAGGAUGCAAGUGUUAUCCGGAAUCACUGGGCGUCAAGCGUCUGUAGGUGGUUUAAUAAGUCAACUGUUAAAUCUUGAGGCUCAACCUCAAAAUCGCAGUCGAAACUAUUAGGCUAGAGUAUAGUAGGGGUAAAGGGAAUUUCCAGUGGAGCGGUGAAAUGCGUAGAGAUUGGAAAGAACACCGAUGGCGAAGGCACUUUACUGGGCUAUUACUAACACUCAGAGACGAAAGCUAGGGUAGCAAAUGGG
rnacentral:rRNA from 1 species